rnacentral:lncRNA from 1 species
UUCAAAUUAACCCUUUAAUGGUAAAUUUUACAUAAAAUAAAGGCACCCAUUUGCUGUAUACAGUCGGUACGUUUUUUGUUUGUUGAGACAGGGUCUCACUAUACCUACCAGGCUGGAGUGCAAUGGCAAUUCACCUGCGUGUUCAUACCUCAUUGCAGCCUCAAAUUCCCAGGCUCAAGCGAUCCUCAGUUCGGCAAGUUCUAACAAACGUAAGCACCAACUUAAAUAAGAUAGAACUGUUUCCAUCAUCCAAAAGGAAGGCUGGUGUUGCCUGAUUGGCGGCGGCAGGCAGGAGUCUGAGGGACCUGCUUGAUGAGGGCUCCACAGGCCCAGGGCUGGGCCUCGCCCGUGCCUUUGACCCUUGGCGCAUUUUCUUCGUGCCCUUUGCUGGCGCGCUCUAUGUCAUGCGUCCAGUGGUGCGUCACAAGCAUGCGACAGACAGUGCAUGCUGGCCUCGGAGGAGGAGAGGGCAGCUGGGAUACCUCUGCGAGUUUCCCUCAGCACUCCGAGAGCCGCGGAAGGCGCAAACUGCUCUUGUGACCUCCCCAGUAAGCUGCGCCUCUGCCGUGCCUUCUCCUUGCUUGCUGUGUUCCGCGGUCUGGCCCGCAUCACCCCGCUGCCCUGAGCCGAGCCUGCCCUCGGCCCGUUCACCAACUGUUAAACCAGGGUCCUGAGUCUACAGGUUCUAGGUUUGGCUUCACCCCUGAGAGCAGUGUCCCAUGCAGCAGGCUCAGUGCUCCUCUCCGCGGAGCCUUCCUUUGGUGUCUUGGCGCCUCUCUCACAAGAAGCCAGCGCUGUUUGUUGGCAACAAGAUUCUUUGCCACUCAGAAACAAUCAAGAUUCCUCCUCCAGGGCACGAAUGGACUUGACUGUCUUUGCCUGGUGAACUGCCAUCCAGGAUCCCCCACCCACACAUUUUUGACCAUUCAAAAAUGAGCUGAGAGCCCUAGGAGAGUGCCAGGAAGGCCUAGCAAAACAGGAGGACGGUAAGAGAAGCGGUCCCACAUACAGUGGGAGUGUACCAUUAUCAUUUAGGCCUCUGGACACCACCGGAGUCCUCACUUUCUUCAGCGUAAUUUUGAGCCUCUGACGGGAAAUCUCAAUUCCAAAUUCCCAGAAGACGGCGUUGGUAAGAAAGGAGUGCUGGAUGAAGACUGUGGACCCAGGAGCUCCUUCACCAAAGGCGGCCCCAUCACCAGCUCAUACAGCCCUGCUGGUGGUGUUCUGCGCAUUUGCAGAGUGAUCCAGGUGCAGCAGGGCUCUCUGCCUAUGGCAUCGUGCUGCCUGCUGCUCAAGAGAUGGGCACAGGAAGUGCUAGAAGCGGCCAUGGGUCCAGCUCCCCAGCCUUGCUGAGCCAGGGAAGAAGAUGCAGAGAAAAAGCUUCCAAAGACACGGUCAAGGUAAAAACCCUCAGAGAUGAUUAUGAAGAUCUCUAUGCAUACAAACUAGAAAACCUAGAAGAAAUGGAUAAAUUCCUGGAAACAUAAAACCUCCCAAGUUUGAACCAGGAAGAAAUUGAAACCCUAAACAAAGACUCCAUCAAGGAAGAAUUCUCCACCCACAUCUUGAGUUGAAGGCCUUGUAAAUGGAAAAUGUCAAGGCUGUUAAUGCUGCCCGGGCUGCUGCUGUCUGCCACUGCUCCUUUGCCGUAAGUGUUUUUGUAUAAUUGUUGCUGGCACCUGAGCUUCGAGAAGAAAGCUGAGUACCAAUGGAAAAUUAUCCCCUUGGAGGAUAAAACAGUCCAUCUUGGACUACAGUGCCACUCAGACCCCCUGUGCUUUCUCUCUGUCUUCAGAAGAGACUGCACACUCCCUGCCCUCAGCCACUUUCAUUUGCAGAUUCCAGCUGUAGGCACAUUCUCAAUUACUGACUUGCCUGACCUGCUUGCCAGGCCCCAAUCCUGUCUGCCUCUCUACCUACCCCCACACCAGAUAUCGAUUGUGUAAUAAAAUGCACAAUUCCUAACUUUCCUUCUCUUGUUCUCCCCGUGGAUCUCUUUCUUUAAGUUCAAGCCCAUAUUUGGGAAAUUCACUUAGGAACAAGCAUCGAAGCCCUUUGCAUUCAUAUCUUUCCAGUUAUACAUGCUGGGUCUUCUGAUUUUGACUUCCCUGUACCUUCUAGCACCUCAACCCUUCCUUCAAGUCUUUGACAGCAAAGAGUCACCUACACCUAUGUGUGUGGAUUCUCCACCUUACUCAUGCAGACCCCUCCACCAGACUUCUGCCAGUAUCCCCUACUUUACCAGCCAUUCCAUCUCUGCUUUCCCAGUCACUUCUACCCCUGCAGCCAGCGCAUCUGCAAAUUUGACCCACCAGUCAGCUUUGGACAUUGGUGUGACUAGCAUGAACGCCAUUCCCCGCUAAGCUGCUUCUUCGGGUCUCCUUCAGGCUCUGGGAUGAACUUGGGCUCCCUCCCAUUUGACCAGGUCAUUUGUAAUGUGGAGCAGAUAUCCCCAGCUUAUAUGCAUUCAUGGUCAACAGCCCCACCCCAACUUUCAGCCUUUUCUUUGGCGCAGGAGUCACCCUUCAGCCCAUAUUUGGGUUCCCUGAUGGGGGCUAGUCAGGAGUCAUUCUCCCCAGUGACCCUAUCUGUACUGGCCUACCUAGCACAGCUUUCCAGAAGCCUCCACUCCAGUAGUCAGCACCUCUGUAGAUUCUACAUCCAAGCCUGCCUUUGAUGCUGAUGGAACUGAUAUACAUACCAUGCCCCCUCCCCAGAUUUCCCUUUUCCCAUCAUAUCUUCUGCAGUCUUCAGUGAGAGCUUCUUUCCGUUUUCCAUGGUGCUUCCUUGUUCUGAGAACAUUCCACCCAGUAUCAGCAUUACUUCCGCCUUAGCACCCACCCGCUGCCUGUACAGUCAGUCAGUGGCUCAGCUGCAAGUUUUAGCUUUUCCUUUGCUCCAGGAGCCACCUCUCAGUCCAGAGUUGGGUUCCCUAGUAAGUUGCAGCCUGAAGCCACCAGCUGUGAUGGCUCUUUCUCAACAAAAGCUUCAGACUUAACCUCCUUGCAGCACAGCCCCCUACUGGUCACAUAACUCCAUCUGAGGGUUUGCCUUCCCAAUAUUCCACCUUUGGCAUCCCUGACAUUACCUAGCUGGCAUUUGAUGACAUCCCAGAUAUUUUCCCCAUUGGCUUAGUUACUACUUCUAGCUCUAGAGUCUAAUCAGGAUGCCUAGCAGUCGCCUUUAGCCAACACCACUGCAGACCCAUUUACUUUUACAGGAUCCAUAUCCCCUGUGGGUAGUGGCAGCUUUGGGGUAAGCGUGGCUGCCUCAUGCUCCAGCUCUGCAUCUGGAGCACUCAGCUUGCUUGAGGACUGAGGAGGACACCCAGCACUACUACUCUUGUUGAUGAGUCUUAACUUGAGCAUCAUGUUCUAUCCCCUGUUACAGCUGGAAAGGCCAACUCUACAGAAAGCAAAUCUGCCCUGGGGGACCGUUUUCUUCCUGCUUAUGGUCAGAAGCCCCUUCCCUAUCAUUCAAAGCAUACCAGUUACUAUGGGAGAAGACAAUAACACUAAGAAAAAACAGGUGCCAGAGGAGACAAUGCUGUUUCUCCUUGUCGCAGAUCACUGGGGACAUUUGUGAUCAGAGCACAUCUACAGCUAGAAGGGACACCACCAUACCGGUAUUUGGAAAUACUUAUCUUCCCACUUUUUGUUGGAAUACCUGGGGAUCCCUGGCUAAUGCCUGAGUAGAACAUAUCUGACAGUGUACCUAUGCUUGAAGGUACCACUAUUCUUGCGUACACUUAGAGCACCCGGGGCUCACCUAUCCAGAGCACAGGUAGUGAAUAGGAACAGUCAGCACCACACCUGUGCUGGGAGAUACUACUGUUCCCGGCAACAUUCAGAGCAUGUGGAGAGCUUAUGGCCAGAGCACAUCUGUUGCAGUCAUAGGAGAAAAUGCCCUACAGUUUUAGGGGAUUCUUCUAGUCUCACCUAGGUCAGAACAUCGGGAGCUCACCCACCCAAUGUACCCUCUUUGACUUUGGAGGAGCCAGCACCACUGAGAAAAAUACCUAUGUGUGGAGACAUUUUUGCCACUACCUUUGGUCAGAGCAACUGUGCUUCCUGUGUACACAAGCAAGAAUCAACCUUGCUUUUAGGUUACCCUUGUCGUCUACCCAAGGCUUAACUGGAGACAAAUGUUGGGCCACAAACCCAUUCAUUAUCUUCCAGUAGAAGACCCAGGAUCUCAGCAAUUAAGGGAAAACUUCUACAAGCAGCAGGUCACCACAGUUCCCCAUAAAUGGACCUUACUCUGCUGAAGAGAGGCUCAAUCUCUUCUACUUGUGUCAAAUAAACUUCAGUUGCUCUCUGUCUUCCUCCAUCAAGCUGAAGGCUCACACCUGUGUGUGUGUGUGUUUUAGAGAUGUGAGACAGAUGAGGCUGGUCAAAUGUCAACAUACUGAACUUAAGGAGUACAACUGUGGAGAGUAGAAGAGUGAUCUGCACACAUUGUCAAUGGUGCCAUCCCUGGCUUUCACUGUUGGUCUGGCAGACCCUUCUCUGGAACAGUUUUCUUCUGGUCUUGGAACUGGCAGGAUGCCCACAGCUGCCUACAGCUGUCUCUUUUCCACUUGCCUCAAUGAGCUCUUAUCUUUCUUUUCACCAUUAAAAAUCAUAAAUCUUUUUUUUUUCUGUUAAUUUGUCCUGUGCUCACAAGUCUUUUACUCUGUGACUCAACUGUGAAGGAAGAAUUGACUUGUAUUAAGUGGUGACAUGUUGAGCCAGACUUAAAUGCGCAACAUUUUCUACAGUCCAGUGAAUAAGAUGUGGAAUUAAUCAUGCUUAAUCACUGCACACGGUGACUUCUGCAGUCUCUGUGUUUUGAGUGUAAAGAUGGUGACCCAAGAGGAAGGAAGAUCCAGAGAAGGGAGAGACAGUGUGAGUGGCCCUUGCCUCUCCUCUCUGGGCUUCUCUUCCACCAUCUGACCUCACUGAAAGCCAGCCUAUCCCCAACUCUAAACCACACUUUACAAUUUUAGUUGUCGUAAAUAUUUACAUGUUCUUUUUGUGCUGUUUUCAUUAAUUAAACUUAGGCCAAUCCCCACACAUUUCCAUUUCAACCAGAGAGUAUAGAUUUGGCAUCCAUGCUCUUGAGCCUGGAAGUGUGAGGAAAGAAAAAGUUCACAUCUGCUCUGCAGUUAUUGAGAUUUUUAAGUCUAGGAUGUAACAUAUUACUUGACACUCUCAUCAUGAUGCUUAAAAUAUCAGGAACUACCUGGACGUGGCCUAUUUGGAAAAAUAACCUGUCUGGCUCUAGUCCAAACCACUGAAAUAUCAAAUUGCAAAAGUUACAAUUUCACCCAGAUUCAGCUGACCCUAGAGUUCCACUGUCUCCACUAGACUUAGUUGCUGAAAAUGCAAUCUUUUCUAAUACAGUUUACAACCCAGGAAAACCACUUUAAGAUGGGGGAAAGAGAAAAUUACCUCUUACCCCAGAGGAAUUUACAAGCUAGUGUGGGAGACAGAUGAAUAAACCAAAAAUUACAACUGGAGAGGCAAAUGUUAGGGUGAUGGGAGCGGGUAAGAAGGACACAAAACUACGUUUGGGAAAUGACUUCUGUUCUGUGCCAGAGAGGAGAUGGUGGCAUGCAUUUAAAAACUCCAGGUGCCCUUAAAGUGGUUGUAUAAGGAGAGGCCUUGAAUUAACUCCAGAAAUGUUCUGCACAAAACUCUGAGAUAUCAUAUAGCUUCUCCCAAUCUUUCCUUCCUUACCUGCAAAAUGUAAAAAUACUCGCUGCCUCCUAAAGCAGGUAGAAGACAUGCAUGUGAUUUGGGAGAUGUAAAAUACACAAGAUAAUAAAUCAGAGAGGCUGAGUUUAAAUACUGCCUGUAGCACUCAAUAGUUGUGUGAUCCUGGUGAGGUACUUAAUCUUUCUACAAAAUAGAACUAAUAAUAGUGACAAAUUUAUUAAAUUCUGAGAAUUAAAAUAAUUAUAAUACAUUAGGCAUUUAAAACACUGCUUGGUACACAGAAGGUGAAAUAUAGGGGUUUGUCACUUAUUUCAAAAUGUUAAUUAUUUAUAGAAUUACUAACAUAUGUUUUAUUAAUAUAUAAUCCCUUCAAGAUUGGUAUUAUGGUACUGUAAGCCUGAGAUCCUAGUAAAGAUUUAAUCAGCUAGUCUGAGAAUGUUUUGGGGGGAAAUGAAUUGUUGAUCUUUAUCACUUUCUUUUCUAUAAUUACCAACUCUGUUUGACUCUCCAGGGAGCAGAAUAAUUAAGAUUGUUAAGAGGAAUCAGGGAGCUAAAUAUUAUUGCACUUUGAAAUACUUCUCUGAUACGGAGAAUUCCUCCUCCAGUUGAGUUUGUACACACAAUUUGAGAGAAGCCUACCUGCAUAUAUGCCUGAAAUGGCACCCAAUUUUGUAUCCUGAGGCCUCAGGGAUGGGGCACCCACAGUGUAGAAGUUGGAGCAGUAGGAGUAAAUUUAGUUUUUCUUCUACAGGAGGUGCUUGUCAACAGAGCUACAUGCUUUUCACUGAAAGGUUAAGGGCAGACAGAUUUGACAGAACAGAGGGGUUCCACAUUAAAGGCUUCGAGUAGAAAUGUCUGUCACUUCCCUCAAUAGUUACCAGUAGCCAUAUGGUGCUGCAGUGACAGGUCUGGGAAUUUCAGAGCAAGUUGUAGGCUGCACUUGAGGAGCCUUCUGGGGUCAGUGGAUGGGGGACAGGUUAAAGGAAAAUAACAACUUUUACUUUUAUUCAAUAAAUGGACAUAUGUUGUUUGACCCCACUCCAUCUUGCCUCUCAGUGAUCACUGACAAAAUGAAGAAAACAAUGUUAAAAAAUUGGGAUGGAACAAAGGCCCUUGGUGGGUGGU